GGGGAAAUAGCUCAGUUGGUAGAGUGCUUGCCUAGCAUGCACAAAGCCCUGGGUUCAAUCCCCAGCAUUACCA
rnacentral:tRNA from 1 species